rnacentral:rRNA from 1 species
GUAGGUGGCAAGCGUUGUCCGGAAUUAUUGGGCGUAAAGCGCGCGCAGGCGGUUCUUUAAGUCUGAUGUGAAAGCCCACGGCUCAACCGUGGAGGGUCAUUGGAAACUGGAGAACUUGAGUACAGAAGAGGAAAGCGGAAUUCCACGUGUAGCGGUGAAAUGCGUAGAGAUGUGGAGGAACGCCAGUGGCGAAGGCGGCUUUCUGGUCUGUAACUGACGCUGAGGCGCGAAAGCGUGGGGAGCAAACAGGGAUUAGAUACCCUGGUAGUCCACGCCGUAAACGAUGAGUGCUAAGUGUUAGGGGGGUUUCCGCCCCCUUAGUGCUGCAGCUAACGCAUUAAGCACUCCGCCUGGGGAGUACGGCCGCAAGGCUG